GCCGGGCAUGGUGGUGUGUGCCUGUAAUUCCAGCUACUGGGGAGGCUGAGGCAGAAGAAUCACUUGAACCCAGGAGGUGGAGCUUGCAGUGAGCUGAGAUCGCGCCACUGCACUCCAGCCUGGGUAACAGAGCGAGACUCCGCCUCAA
rnacentral:SRP_RNA from 1 species